ensembl:lncRNA
GUAGCCUAGUGGUUAGAGUGGGGGCGGCAGGUAGCCUAGUGGUUAGAGUGGGGAGGCGGCAGGUAGCCUAGUGGUUAGAGUGGGGAGGCGGCAGGUAGCCUAGUGGUUAGAGUGGAGGGGCGGCAGGUAGCCUAGUGGUUAGAGUGGAGGGGCGGCAGGUAGCCUAGUGGUUAGAGCGUUGGGCCAGUAACCGAAAUGUUGCUAGAUCGAAUCCCCGAGCUGACAAGGUAAAAAUCUGUCGUAUCGCCCCUGAUCAAGGCAGUUAACCCACUGUUCCCCAGUAAGCCAUCAUAGUAAAUACGAAUUUGUUCUUAACUGAUUUACCUAGUUAAAUAAAUAAAUAAAAUAAAAACUAGCAGGUACAUUUUUUCCUCAGAACAGCCUCAAUUCGUUGGGCCAGGGGUGCUGGCCCAAUGUUACACAGGGGUGCUGGCCCAUGUUGACUCCAAUGCUUCCCACAGUUGUCUAGUUGGCUAGAUGUCCUUUGGCUGGAUGUCCUUUGGCUGGAUGUCCUUUGGGUGGACCAUUGAUACACACGGGAAACUGCGUGGAAAACGUGAAAAACCUAGCUGUGUUGCAGUCCUUGACACAAACCGGUGCGUCUUGCACCUACUACCAUACCCCAUUCAAAGUCACUUAUAUCUUGUGUUUUGC